GAUUAUAGCUCAGUGGUAGAGCGCUUGCCUAGUACAUGUGAGACACUGGGUUCGAUCCUCAGCAUCA
rnacentral:tRNA from 1 species